rnacentral:rRNA from 1 species
UACGUAGGCAGCGAGCGUUUGUUCGGAGUUACUGGGCGUAAAGAGUGCGUAGGCGGUUUUCUAAGUUUGGUGUGAAAUCUCCCGGCUUAACUGGGAGGGUGCGCCGAAGACUGGAAGGCUUGAGUAUGGGAGAGGUAAGCGGAAUUCCUGGUGUAGCGGUGAAAUGCGUAGAUAUCAGGAGGAACACCUGCGGUGUAGACGGCUUACUGGACCAUCACUGACGCUGAGGCACGAAAGCGUGGGUAGCAAACAGG